UAAGGACGAGGAAGUUUUUGAGGA
rnacentral:snRNA from 1 species